rnacentral:tRNA from 1 species
CUAAGAGAAAGAAAUGAUUUAAUUAUUUAAGGUAAAGCAUUAUUUUAACUCUUCCUUUGUCUUUUCAAAGAUUUUUUUGGGGGUUUAGCUCAGUUGGUUUAGAGCAUCGGCUUUGCAAGCCGGGGGUCAAGGGUUCGAGUCCCUUAACCUCCAUUUGUUUAUUGCAAAAAUGAAUGGAGGUUGUAUCUUUUAAAUAUCAGCCUGUGAUUUAUCAAUUAAAAUUGUCUUUAAUGAUUAAAAAUAAUCUAAUUAAAAUUUAGAUGUCCAAAUAAAACAUUUCUUUUUUAAAAUUUUUGCUUAAGUUUAAGAAUUUAUUAGGUCAAUAGAUUGCAUCUAUAGGAUAGAUAAUAAAAAAUAACGAUAUGUUAUUCAUGUUAUUUUUAAGUUAUCUUAUUUAGAUUAAUUUAAGUUUUUAUAGUUUGUAGGAAAUAAUAUUACUUCAUGUAAAGUUUAAUAUGGUUGAUGUUUGUGUUUAUCUUGAGUGAAUCAAUAUAAUAUAUGAAUAUAAUACAUGGUUUAAUAUUUAAGCUUGUGGUUUUAAUUAUUAUAUUACCCAUUCUUUGUGGUUUAGUGAUAAAUUUUUAUUGCAGAUGUGAAGCUUGACUAAAACUUAAGAACAAACUUUCAAAAAUCCGUUUUGAACUAUUUUACCUAGCUCAUUAGAUCUUUAAAAGGAUUUGAGUGUAAAAU